UCUUCGAUGGUCUAGUGGUGAUGAUUUCCGCUUGUCAUAGCCUCUAUUACAAGCCGCGGGAGACCGGGGUUCGAUUCCCCGUCGGAGAG
rnacentral:tRNA from 1 species